GGACUACACGGGUAUCUAAUCCUGUUCGCUCCCCACGCUUUCGCUCCUCAGUGUCAGGUAAGGCCCAGAGAACCGCCUUCGCCACCGGUGUUCCUCCCGAUAUCUGCGCAUUUCACCGCUACACCGGGAAUUCCAUUCUCCCCUACCUACCUCUAGUCUGCCCGUAUCCACUGCAGGCCCAGGGUUAAGCCCUAGGUUUUCACAGCGGACGUAGCAAACCACCUACGAGCUCUUUACGCCCAAUAAUUCCGGACAACGCUUGCGCCCUACGUAUUACCGCGGCUGCUGGCAC
rnacentral:rRNA from 1 species